GGUGAACGCUGGCGGCGUGCUUAAGACAUGCAAGUCGAACGGGCUCUUCGGAGCUAGUGGCGCACGGGUGAGUAACGCGUAACUGACCUACCCCAAAGUCGCGGAUAACGAUUCGAAAGAAUCGCUAAUACGUGAUGUGCUGUCAGAUCUUGUUCUGCCAGUAAAGAUUGAUUGCUUUGGGAUGGGGUUGCGUUCCAUCAGCUAGUUGGUGGGGUAAAGGCCCACCAAGGCGACGACGGAUAGCCGGCCUGAGAGGGUGGCCGGCCACAGGGGCACUGAGACACGGGUCCCACUCCUACGGGAGGCAGCAGUUAGGAAUCUUCCACAAUGGGCGAAAGCCUGAUGGAGCGACGCCGCGUGAGGGAUGAAGGUCUUCGGAUCGUAAACCUCUGAAUCAGGGACGAAAGACACUUUAUGUGGGAUGACGGUACCUGAGUAAUAGCACCGGCUAACUCCGUGCCAGCCGCCGCCGUAAAAC
rnacentral:rRNA from 1 species